UACAGAGGGGGCAAGCGUUAUUCGGAAUUAUUGGGCGUAAAGGGCGCGUAGGCGGCUUGGCAAGUGGAUGGUGAAAUCCCUCGGCUUAACCGAGGAACUGCCGUCCAAACUGCUUCGCUUGAGACCGGGAGAGGUGAGUGGAAUUCCCAGUGUAGCGGUGAAAUGCGUAGAGAUGUGGAGGAAUACCGAUGGCGAAGGCAGCCCCCUGGGAUAACACUGACGCUCAUGCACGAAAGCGUGGGGAGCAAACAGG
rnacentral:rRNA from 1 species